rnacentral:rRNA from 1 species
GACGAACGCUGGCGGCGUGCUUAACACAUGCAAGUCGAGCGGUAAGGCCCUUUCGGGGUACGACGAGCGGCGAACGGGUGAGUAACACGUGGGUGACCUGCCUUUAGCUCUGGGAUAAGCCUGGGAAACUGGGUCUAAUACCGGAUAUGACCCUAUGGCGCAUGUUGUGGGGUGGAAAGCCUUGUGCGGCUAGGGAUGGGCCCGCGGCCUAUCAGCUUGUUGGUGGGGUGAUGGCCACCAAGGCGACGACGGGUAGCCGGCCUGAGAGGGCGACCGGCCACACUGGGACUGAGACACGGCCCAGACUCCUACGGGAGGCAGCAGUGGGGAAUCUUGCGCAAUGGGCGAAAGCCUGACGCAGCGACGCCGCGUGAGGGAUGACGGCCUGUGUAAC